rfam:Oceanibacterium hippocampi strain CECT 7691 genome assembly, contig: 0014
CCUGGUGGCUAUGGCGGGAGGCCUGCACCCGAUCCCAUCCCGAACUCGGUCGUGAAACCUCCCAGCGCCGAUGGUACUUUGUCUCAAGGCACGGAAGAGUAGGUCGCUGCCAGGC